rnacentral:lncRNA from 1 species
GAGAUGCUUUUUUAUAUUUAUUAUUAUUAUUAUAUUAUUAUAUUAAUAUCUAUAUACAUUAUGUAACUUAACGUUUCUUCCAAUCUUAAAUUGUUUUAUUGAACUAAAUAUUGGUUUUACUAUCUUAAAAUUUAACUGAAUAUAGAUCUAAAAAUAAUUUGUUGAUUAAAAUAUUAUUUAAGACACUGAAACAUGAUGAGCAUUGCUGCAAAAAGUUAUGACAACUAUCAACUUUGGUGUCUUACAUAAUUAAUUUAUGAUCUGACAGAAUUAUUUUCAGAUCUAUAUUCACAACUAAUUUUUUAUGAAUACUUUAGCAAAGUUGUAAGUCGUACUUAGCCAUAUAAAUAUUUUAGUCGUUCUUUCCGUGCAGAUUAAAUCUUAUUUUAAAAUAAAGAAAUAGAAGAAAGAACAUUCUUUUGUUUAAUAGCAUUUCGCCAUAUAUGCUUAUAACGAAAUAAAGGUUCUCCGAUGGAUUCAGUAAUACGAGCAUGAGAGCUCGUGGAGCACGAAAGAACGCGAGAUGUCUUUAGUUCGUUGAUGCGAUUUUGUAGUCCGUUAUUUUUUAUUUUAUCACACUGAUUUCUGAUUGGCUUUUACAAUAACAAUCGUCCAGGAUUCUUUCAUUUUGUAGAAUUUUACGUUAGUGCGAUCUAUUCAAUGAUUAAAUUUUGCUCUUAUCUUUCUGUAAGAAAGGCACGCUUCCUUACAAGUUGUUCGAUUUGGAACACAUGAAAGUUUCAUUAAAACCACGGCAAUGUUUUCUUUUCUUCUUUCUUUCCUCCUGCGCAUUGUUUCUUAUAGAAAGACAACCUUUAAUUAUGACGUAGAUUUAUUUUUUAUUAUGCUCAAAAGUACAAGAGAAAGAUUUUUAUAGCAGUUACAAAAAAUUUAUUACUAAAGGUUAAUAAAUAUACAUUAAAGAGUUAUCACAUGAUUAAGUUGAAUAACUAAUUUCCUUGAAACUUAUGUCGUAAUAACGAAGAUAUUCGUUACACACAUAAUAUAAUUGCAGUAAUUACGCCUAAAACAUUGCAUUGUAUUAUAGUUAUGUAGCUUCAUUACCACUUUGUUCGUGGUUUCGAGCACUGACAAUUUGUCCGUUCCUCCCGGCAUGUAAGUUUGUCACGAACUUCUUGACGAACUCUACCUACCUAGCUACGUUUUGAAACCCGCAACUCCAUUACAAAUAUUCAGCUAAGAUGAAACGCCGUCAGCAGCUUAUACAAUGACUAACUUAAUGAGAACAUUGCGAGACAGUGUCUGCGCAACAACGUGAGAUCGUCGUAGGCGAAUUUCCGAUUUCAUCCUGAGAUUCUGAUAUGGUCCCUUUAAUCUGGACUUAUUCGUCCUAAUUUCCAAUUGCGACAUUUGCAGCUUUAUUCAGAACUUCGGGCAAAGUUGAAAACCGAGAACUAUCCCUUCUCGUAUUUAAUACAUUUUCAAUUUAAUACUUUUAUCGCACACGUGUACUAUGUUUUUCUUAAUAUGACAUAUGUUAUUAACCUUUCAUUGCGCCGUUCCAUACUUGUUAAAUUUUCAAAGUUUUUAAAAAUUGUAUAAAACAAAAUUAAGAAAACAAUCAUACUCUGGAAGAUUAUAAAUAAAAAAUCAGAGAGUUUCAGAAUCAACUUUUAUGUCAUAUACAUCUGUGUAAUUAAAAAAUCGUAUGUGAACUGAACGUUUGCCUCAUACAGAAGCAAUGAAGAAUGAAGGAUGUAUGUGUCACAUCUGUUAUCUCAGGUGUGCUAUCUCAGGAUUGCCGCUUCCUAUGGACAUGUCCCUUAUUUAUCAACCCAUUGGCGCAGCGUUCUGAUCAAAAGGAUCGUCUAGAUGGUUGUCUUUUCACAGGCUGCGUCGUAUAUCACGAUUUUGAUGUAUUAGUAUCUACUAGCUUUCGAUAUGGCAAACAUAUACAUCGUCUAUAUCGAAGAAAUAUAAACUCAAAUUAUAAAUUAAAAAAUUCGAAUAUUAAAGAUUGCACGCGAGAGUAAAGUAAAUAUUGCUGUAAAAUUCGAUUGUGGUAACUUGUAUUAGGCUAACACAACUUAGAGUUUCCACUUUAUACUACGGAAAUAAUUGAUGUAAAUGUAAAUAUUAAUUAAGUGCAGAAUUGUCCAAAAUAAUAAUUAUUAUUAUUAACUUAUUUUAUAUGUACGUUACAUAUGUGUGUGUGUGUCUCAUUAUUUAAAGUAAUACUUUAACAAUGUUAGUACAACUUAGCACAAUCUAACACAAUUGAGAAAAUUGAGAAACAAACAAACAAAAAGUAGGACUGAUAUUUAAAAAUAUUUUUUCUCUCUUUUUACAUUUUUUUAUAUUAUAAUUUCAAUAUUACUCAUCAGUCUCAAAAUAAAUUAACGUUAAAAGUAGGCGGCCAAUUUCUUAUAGAUUAAUUUUCCCCUGGUGAAAAGUAUAUUUAAUUAAAACAAUCGAGAUAGAAGAAAAAAAAUAUAAACCAAUAAAGAAAAAACCAAUUAAUUAGUUUAAAACUGAUUUUUAAAGAUAUGUGUCACACUUCAAAUUAACAAAAAUUUUUUAAUUUUAUAUAUUAUUCUACUAUUUACAUUUGAAUAUAUCUGCCUGGAUUGUGAGCAAAAUUUGAAUAUGAUUCUAUUAUUGGUUGAAAAAUUAUUUAAUUUUUUAUUUGCUCUUGAUUCUUGUAUAAAAUUGUAUUUUGUACUUGUAAAUUUAAGGCGGAGCUUUAUAAAUUAAAUCAAAUUAUUUAUAUAUACUAAUAAAACUUUAAUAAAUAUUUAUGCAAGUUUAUUUGAAUCCACUUACUUUAUUUAAAAAUUAUUUACUUAAAAAUUACUACAGCAAAAUAGAGCCAUUUUCGUUGCACAAGACGUUAUAAACCAAAUUUUUUAAUGUUUUCUUUUUUUACAGUUGAUUUUACGAUCAAAUUUUUUGUCCUUGAUUAGGAAAGAAAAAUAAAUCUAAAAAGCAUGCAGUUUUUAAAUUUCGAUAACUUUUAGCUGGUAUUUUAUGUCAAAACAUUUUCAAUAUUAAUUCUCUCUUUAAUUUAGAAGGAUAUAGAAUAUCGUUUCUCUUUUGUAACUACAGUUACUGUUAAAACUUUUGAACAUGAAACUGAAACGGAACUUCCCUUUAAGUUAUUUCGUCAGGCACGUGAGAGAAUUAUUACACAUACAAUAAGUUGAAUUUAUUAGCUAUAUUUAAGUUUAGAUUACCAACGGAAAAUUUCUCAUAACAAAUAUUACAACAACUUUCAAGCUUAAAUAAAUAAUAAAAUUAACGAAUUUUAUUUGUAUCAUGUUACACUCUUAACGUAUAAAAAAUAAUUUUCUAGAAUAAGAAGAUUCUGGUUUUAAAGUCAAUCUUAUAUUUUCUGCACCUCUAAUAACUCCAAGAAUUACUUCUUACGAACGAUUAAAAUUACAAGGUAUAUAUCUCAGUAAAAAAAUUUUUAUACACAAAUACAUAUAAAUGUAUAUAAAUAUAAUUAUACAUAUUUACAUAUGUUUUCGUAUAAAAAAAAUUUAUCAAAACAUUUUUUAUUAUAUAUAUACAUAUGUAAAUGCGAAAUUUAGACUGUUAUACCCGAAUAACGUAUUAAUUUUUUGCAUAUUAAGUCGCUAACAAUGAGCGAAAACGCAUAACAGUAAGCAUAACAGUCAAAAUAAAAUUCUAAAUAAAAAGGUAAUCUGUGCCCUCUCUAAUCCAACGUUAUUUCACAGGCGAUAUGCGCUAAAACGAAACGCGGCCGGUCGUCAUUCCGCGCCGGUGUAAUCGUUUUAUUGGUCGGCCGAACGUGACUCGAUGUUGUUAACUCACCAAAAUUGAAUCGUUAUGAAGGUAACACGCCCCCGUGAGGUUGUAAUAACGCCACUGCGGCGGUCUCACGGUGAGCUUGAAAACGUGCAGAAACGGCGUACAUAAAAGUCUGGGCACGUGCGCGACCGCACCGGAAAAGCGGGAGGCCGGUACUACAAGCAUCGUCAAUCACGUCGCCUUUCCGCUAGGCGGAGAGUAAAAAGGCGCCGUAAUCCGUGACGGAGUAAACGUCAAUAUAUCACCAUACUGGUGUCGGAAAUUUGGGAUGCCUGCGAGUGCCAACGUCAUUGAGAUGAAGCUCUCCAGAACGUGGAAGAAAAGUGCCACUUUCUCCGAGAAUAUCAUCCACGUUAUGUGUAAAUUCCGGUGGUUACGCGGCUGCAGAUCGUAACAAAGUUAGAGACGCAGAAGUACUUUUUUCAAUAACUGUAAGUUUUAACUUUGUUCCCUUUUUUAUAUUUUUAAUUGUAAUUUAACUUCUUUUUACAUCUUUUUUAUAAUGAACUAAUUUAGUUGUUAGUCUUAUAAUUAUUUUAUAUAUUUGGUCGUCGUGUUAAAGUUAUUGCGUACGUAUCAGUCUGUAAUAUUAUCCAACGUAAUUCUAUCCAACUUAAGAUAAACUUAAAAUUUCAUCAAACUUUAUGAUGUCAUCAUCGUAGUAUCGUCAAGCACUUCUCUACUUUUCUUAUUACAUACCUUGAUGUUCUUACUGAUAUAUAUACAAUUUAUGAAUCCACAAGUGGAAGACUUCACUUUUCUAUAUUACAUAUUUAAUAUUACAUCGCCUUUUUGUGAAACAUAAUAAAGGUUAUGAAAAAUAAAGCUCACUUAUGAAAAAAACGCUCACACGUUCUUUAGUUAUUUCGAUUGUGCGUAAACGUUUCCAGUUUUAAUUAUUUAAGAAAAGUACAAUGAUAUUCUACUGCUAUAACAAUUUAUCUAUUCUCUACAUAAACUUUUAAUUUUACUAUAUUAUCGAUACACUACAUUACACACACAAUCUUAUGUAAACAUGAUAAGUAGUUAAUUGACUAAUAAAUAUGGUAUUUAUUAAUAUUAA